rnacentral:tRNA from 1 species
GCGGGGUUCUCCUAGCCUGGUAGGGAGCAGGCCUGCUAAGUCUGUGGUCCAUAGGGCCACGCGGGUUCGAAUCCCGCACCCCGCGCCA